rnacentral:lncRNA from 1 species
AUAGCCGUCUCUGGCUCGUGCUCUCAUGUCAUCUCAGAGUUCCAGCUUAUCAGAGGCAUGUAGCAGGGAGGCUUAUUCCAGCCAUAACUGGGCUCUACCUCCAGCCUCCAGAAGUAAUCCCCAACCUGCAUAUCCUUGGGCAACCCGAAGAAUGAAAGAAGAAGCUAUAAAACCCCCUUUGAAAGCUUUCAUGAAGCAGAGGAGGAUGGGUCUGAACGACUUUAUUCAGAAGAUUGCCAAUAACUCCUAUGCAUGCAAACACCCUGAAGUUCAGUCCAUCUUGAAGAUCUCCCAACCUCAGGAGCCUGAGCUUAUGAAUGCCAACCCUUCUCCUCCAGUAAGUUUUUGUAUGUGCCGUGCAUCUGUGGAGAACUGUAAGGGAGUCAGUUAGUAUUCCUACAUUAAUGGAUUAAAAUAGCAUUUCUAGAAAUUAGUAUCAAGGCAGGAAUGCUUCAUUAUGGCAUAACAAGUGAUAUAAAUAUUUAAGUAUUGAGUCAGAGUAUUAUUUUAUUUUUUUCCUGGGCAUAUUUUACCUCCAAAG